rnacentral:rRNA from 1 species
AUUGAACGCUGGCGGCAGGCCUAAUACAUGCAAGUCGAACGGUAACACAAGAAAGCUUGCUUUCUUGAUGACGAGUGGCGGACGGGUGAGUAAUAUUUGGGAAGCUACCUGAUAGAGGGGGACAACAGUUGGAAACGACUGCUAAUACCGCAUAUAGCCUAAGGGUGAAAGCAGCGAUGCGCUAUCAGAUGCGCCCAAACGGGAUUAGCUAGUAGGUGAGGUAAAGGCUCACCUAGGCGACGAUCUCUAGCUGGUCUGAGAGGAUGAACGGCCACAUUGGGACUGAGAUACGGCCCAGACUCCUACGGGAGGCAGCAGUGGGGAAUAUUGGGCAAUGGGGGAAACCCUGACCCAGCAACGCCGCGUGAAGGAAGAAGGCCUCGGUUGUAAACGUUCUUUAGUCAGGGACGAAGGACGUGACGGUACCUGCAGAAAAGACAACGGCUAACUACGUG